ACUCACCCGGCUACGGACUGUGAGGCCGGUAACUCGGUCCGGUCUCACCACGUAGCCUUUCGAGCGGCGUGGACAGCUGGAACCAUGGUGGUGAUGGUGGCUUCUAGAGCGCCGCGACUCCUCCGGGUCAGUCCCGGUGCUGCUGAAUGCCAUUGAAAGAAGUCACACAACCCUGCUGACUGGGUCUAUUGCAUUUUUAUGUUAUCUAAUCUCAGCCAGGUCUUCACUGCUGAUUAAAAGCCCUUUUGCACACCC